rnacentral:tRNA from 1 species
GGGUGUGUAGCUCAGUGGUAGACCACAUGCCUAGCAUGCACGAGGUCUUAGGUUCAAUCCCCAGUAUCUCCA